GGAGAUUAGCUCAGCUGGGAGAGCACCUGCCUUACAAGCAGGGGGUCGGCGGUUCGAUCCCGUCAUCCUCCACCA
rnacentral:tRNA from 1 species